GAUGAACGCUGGCGGCGUGCUUAACACAUGCAAGUCGAACGGAAAGGCCUCUGCUUGCAGGGGUACUCGAGUGGCGAACGGGUGAGUAACACGUGGGUGAUCUGCCCUGCACUUCGGGAUAAGCCUGGGAAACUGGGUCUAAUACCGGAUAGGACAAUGGUUUGGAUGCUGUUGUGGAAAGUUUUUCGGUGUGGGAUGAGCUCGCGGCCUAUCAGCUUGUUGGUGGGGUAAUGGCCUACCAAGGCGUCGACGGGUAGCCGGCCUGAGAGGGUGUACGGCCACAUUGGGAUUGGGAUACGGCCCAGCCUCCUACGGGGGGAGGCAGUGGGGAAUUUUGCACAAUGGGCGCAAGCCUGAGGCGGCGCGGCCGCGUGGGGAUGACGGCCUUCGGGUUGUAAACUCCUUUCGCUAGGGACGAAGCGUUUUUGUGACGGUACCUGGAGAAGAAGCACCGGCUAACUACGUG
rnacentral:rRNA from 1 species